rnacentral:rRNA from 1 species
GACGAACGCUGGCGGCGUGCUUAAUACAUGCAAGUCGAGCGAAGCGGCGGAUGGGUGAGUAACGCGUGGGUAAGCUGCACUUAAGUCUGGGAUACCAUUUGGAAAAAGAUGCUAAUACCGGAUACUAACGGGUGGAGCUGCGAUGCAUGAGCUAGUUGGUAAGGUAACGGCUUACCAAGGCGAUGAUGCGUAGCCGGGUUGAGAGGCUGAUUGGCCACAUUGGGACUGAGACACGGCCCAAACUCCUACGGGAGCCAGCAGUAGGGAAUCUUCCACAAUGGACGAAAGUCUGAUCGAGCAACGCCGCGUGCGUGAAGAAGGUUUUCGGGUCGUAAAGGACUGUUGUUGGUGAAGCGGUAAUCAACCAGAAAGGCACGGCUAACUACGUGCCAGCAGCCGCGGUAAUUC